UAUGUUCCUUUUUUUCAUUUCAUGUUCUGAGUUACCUAUUUUUAUUGCAUUUUACAAAAGCAUCCUUCCAUGAAGGACCGGAAGUUAAAAACAAAGCAGGUCCUUUAUCACAGCACUGUCGUAGAACACAGUUCAGAGUUAUCCACCCAAGGAGCCAGGGAGCUGGGCUAAACCAAAGAAUUUUGCUUUUGGUUAAUCAUCAGGACAGUUUAUUCUGCGUUGUAGCAGCAUUUGGCUGUUUCUACUACUGAAUGAAUCUUUGAAAAGCUGGUAAAAGACAUGACCAUGAAGAAAUCUGAACUUUUUAAUAUUGUUAAAUAUCUUGACAAAAUAAAGAUGUUAGUAGUUUGACAACUGAA
rnacentral:lncRNA from 10 species